GAUGAACGCUGGCGGCGUGCCUAAUACAUGCCAGUCGAGCGAACGGACGAGAAGCUUGCUUCUCUGAUGUUAGCGGCGGACGGGUGAGUAACACGUGGAUAACCUACCUAUAAGACUGGGAUAACUUCGGGAAACCGGAGCUAAUACCGGAUAAUAUUUUGAACCGCAUGGUUCAAAAGUGAAAGACGGUCUUGCUGUCACUUAUAGAUGGAUCCGCGCUGCAUUAGCUAGUUGGUAAGGUAACGGCUUACCAAGGCAACGAUGCAUAGCCGACCUGAGAGGGUGAUCGGCCACACUAGAACUGAGACACGGUCCAGACUCCUACGGGAGGCAGCAGUAGGGAAUCUUCCGCAAUGGGCGAAAGCCUGACGGAGCAACGCCGCGUGAGUGAUGAAGGUCUUCGGAUCGUAAAACUCUGUUAUUAGGGAAGAACAUAUGUGUAAGUAACUGUGCACAUCUUGACGGUACCUAAUCAGAAAGCCACGGCUAACUACGUG
rnacentral:rRNA from 1 species